AACGAACGCUGGCGGCAUGCCUAACACAUGCAAGUCGAACGAGCCCUUCGGGUCUAGUGGCGCACGGUUUCGUAACGCGUGGGAACCUUCCUUUAGGUUCGGAAUACCUCAGAGAAAUUUAUGCUAAUACCGGAUGAUGUCUUCGGACCAAAGAUUUAUCGCCUUUAGAUGGGCCCGCGUUGGAUUAGCUAGUUGGUGGGGUAAAGGCCUACCAAGGCGACGAUCCAUAGCUGGUCUGAGAGGAUGAUCAGCCACACUGGGACUGAGACACGGCCCAGACUCCUACGGGAGGCAGCAGUGGGGAAUAUUGGACAAUGGGCGAAAGCCUGAUCCAGCAAUGCCGCGUGAGUGAUGAAGGCCUUAGGGUUGUAAAGCUCUUUUACCCGAGAUGAUAAUGACAGUAUCGGGAGAAUAAGCUCCGGCUAACUCCGUG
rnacentral:rRNA from 1 species